GCGCCUGUGGCCCAACGGAUAGGGCAGCAGCCUCCGAAGCUGCUGGUGCAGGUUCAAUUCCUGCCAGGCGCA
rfam:Omnitrophica WOR_2 bacterium GWF2_43_52 gwf2_scaffold_449, whole genome shotgun sequence.